UGCCGGCCGGGGGACGGACUGGG
rnacentral:snRNA from 1 species